rnacentral:rRNA from 1 species
GACGAACGCUGGCGGCGUGCUUAACACAUGCAAGUCGAGCGGUAAGGCCCUUUCGGGGGUACACGAGCGGCGAACGGGUGAGUAACACGUGGGUGACCUGCCCUCAGCUCUGGGAUAAGCCUGGGAAACCGGGUCUAAUACCGGAUAUGACUCCAUGACGCAUGUUGUGGGGUGGAAAGCCUUGUGCGGCUGAGGAUGGGCCCGCGGCCUAUCAGCUUGUUGGUGGGGUGAUGGCCUACCAAGGCGCCGACGGGUAGCCGGCCUGAGAGGGCGACCGGCCACACUGGGACUGAGACACGGCCCAGACUCCUACGGGAGGCAGCAGUGGGGAAUCUUGCGCAAUGGGCGAAAGCCUGACGCAGCGACGCCGCGUGAGGGAUGACGGCCU